CCGGGCGUUCUUUGUCCUCCGACCCCACCCGAAAGCCCGAGGGUGGUGAUUCUUUAGUCCCCGAAAGGGUCUUUCGUGUUGUGAUCCAGGUGGUGUGCCCAAGGCCCAGGGGACCAAGCCAAGGCCAAGGUCCAUCAUUCAUGAGGGCUUCAUGGAGGCUCUAGAGCUAGUUGGGCCCUAGGUUGAAAGGCUGUGGGCCUUUCGGGUUC
rnacentral:lncRNA from 1 species